rnacentral:rRNA from 1 species
UUAGAGUUUGAUCCUGGCUCAGGAUGAACGCUAGCGGCAGGCCUAAUACAUGCAAGUCGAACGGGCCUGGGUUUUACUCAGGUUAGUGGCGCACGGGUGCGUAACGCGUACACAACAUACCCUUGACUGGGGGAUAGCGGUGGGAAACUGCCAGUAAUCCCUCAUGGUCUUCUGAGUUGGCAUCGGCUCGGGAGUAAAGCUGAGGCGGUCAAGGAUUGGUGUGCGUCCGAUUAGCUAGUUGGUAGGGUAACGGCCUACCAAGGCGACGAUCGGUAGGGGGUGUGAGAGCAUGGCCCCCCACACGGGUACUGAGACACGGACCCGACUCCUACGGGAGGCAGCAGUAAGGAAUAUUGGACAAUGGUCGCAAGACUGAUCCAGCCAUGCCGCGUGCAGGAAGAAGGCCCUCUGGGUUGUAAACUGCUUUUGGACGGGAAUAAACCACCCGACGGGAUUGGGUGCUGAAGGUACCGUCAGAAUAAGCACCGGCUAACUCCGUGCCAGCAGCCGCGGUAAUACGGAGGGUGCGAGCGUUAUCCGGAAUCACUGGGUUUAAAGGGUGCGUAGGCGGCUCGGUAAGUCAGUUGUGAAAGCCCCUUGCUUAACGAGGGAGGUGCGAUUGAUACUGUCGAGCUUGAAUCGGGAUGAGGCAGGCGGAAUGUGGCAUGUAGCGGUGAAAUGCAUAGAUAUGCCAUAGAACA